AUACGUAGGGUGCGAGCGUUAAUCGGAAUUACUGGGCGUAAAGCGUGCGCAGGCGGCUUUGCAAGACAGAGGUGAAAUCCCCGGGCUCAACCUGGGAACUGCCUUUGUGACUGCAAGGCUAGAGUACGGCAGAGGGGGAUGGAAUUCCGCGUGUAGCAGCGAAAUGCGUAGAUAUGCGGAGGAACACCAAUGGCGAAGGCAAUCCCCUGGGCCUGUACUGACGCUCAUGCACGAAAGCGUGGGGAGCAAACAGGAUUAGAAACCCUAGUAGUCC
rnacentral:rRNA from 1 species